UUUUCUGCUGAUGAAUUAAAUAGCAAACUGUUGUUUCAGGUUGUGUUGAAAGGUUGUGCCCUAGAGAGGAAUUUCAGAAUCACCUUAGUCGACAGAGCUGCAUUUCCCAGCCUACAUUUGACUGAAUGUGAUCUGUCCACAAAGUGCUUUGAAAAGAAGACGAUCUAAAGCAGAAUUCUUUAACCUUAGCACUACCAACAUUGUGAGCCAGGAGAACCCUGACAAAUACAGCCAAAUAUGGAUAAACCUCAACAACAAAAUGAAAGAGUUGGCCCAGCUGCUGUGCUGCAGUAGUAAUGCUACCCUCAUACAGUGCUGGAAGCUAUAUAGCCACCAUUGUUCACAUCCUUGGUCAGUCUAACAGACUGGAAAUGAAUGUAGAUGUGCAAGAUACCA